GGUUAAGCGACUAAGCGUACACGGUGGAUGCCCUGGCAGUCAGAGGCGAUGAAGGACGUGCUAAUCUGCGAUAAGCGUCGGUAAGGUGAUAUGAACCGUUAUAACCGGCGAUUUCCGAAUGGGGAAACCCAGUGUGUUUCGACACACUAUCAUUAACUGAAUCCAUAGGUUAAUGAGGCGAACCGGGGAACUGAAACAUCUAAGUACCCCGAGGAAAAGAAAUCAACCGAGAUUCCCCCAGUAGCGGCGAGCGAACGGGGAGCAGCCCAGAGCCUGAAUCAGUAUGUGUGUUAGUGGAAGCGUCUGGAAAGGCGCGCGAUACAGGGUGACAGCCCCGUACACAAAAAUGCACAUGCUGUGAGCUCGAUGAGUAGGGCGGGACACGUGGUAUCCUGUCUGAAUAUGGGGGACCAUCCUCCAAGGCUAAAUACUCCUGACUGACCGAUAGUGAACCAGUACCGUGAGGGAAAGGCGAAAAGAACCCCGGCGAGGGGAGUGAAAAAGAACCUGAAACCGUGUACGUACAAGCAGUGGGAGCACGCUUAGGCGUGUGACUGCGUACCUUUUGUAUAAUGGGUCAGCGACUUAUAUUCUGUAGCAAGGUUAACCGAAUAGGGGAGCCGAAGGGAAACCGAGUCUUAACUGGGCGUUAAGUUGCAGGGUAUAGACCCGAAACCCGGUGAUCUAGCCAUGGGCAGGUUGAAGGUUGGGUAACACUAACUGGAGGACCGAACCGACUAAUGUUGAAAAAUUAGCGGAUGACUUGUGGCUGGGGGUGAAAGGCCAAUCAAACCGGGAGAUAGCUGGUUCUCCCGAAAGCUAUUUAGGUAGCGCCUCGUGAAUUCAUCUCCGGGGUAGAGCACUGUUUCGGCAAGGGGUCAUCCCGACUUACCAACCCGAUGCAAACUGCGAAUACCGGAGAAUGUUAUCACGGGAGACACACGGCGGGUGCUAACGUCCGUCGUGAAGAGGGGAAACAACCCAGACCGCCAGCUAAGGUCCCAAAGUCAUGGUUAAGUGGGAAACGAUGUGGGAAGGCCCAGACAGCCAGGAUGUUGGCUUAGAAGCAGCCAUCAUUUAAAGAAAGCGUAAUAGCUCACUGGUCGAGUCGGCCUGCGCGGAAGAUGUAACGGGGCUAAACCAUGCACCGAAGCUGCGGCAGCGACACUAUGUGUUGUUGGGUAGGGGAGCGUUCUGUAAGCCUGUGAAGGUGUGCUGUGAGGCAUGCUGGAGGUAUCAGAAGUGCGAAUGCUGACAUAAGUAACGAUAAAGCGGGUGAAAAGCCCGCUCGCCGGAAGACCAAGGGUUCCUGUCCAACGUUAAUCGGGGCAGGGUGAGUCGACCCCUAAGGCGAGGCCGAAAGGCGUAGUCGAUGGGAAACAGGUUAAUAUUCCUGUACUUGGUGUUACUGCGAAGGGGGACGGAGAAGGCUAUGUUGGCCGGGCGACGGUUGUCCCGGUUUAAGCGUGUAGGCUGGUUUUCCAGGCAAAUCCGGAAAAUCAAGGCUGAGGCGUGAUGACGAGGCACUACGGUGCUGAAGCAACAAAUGCCCUGCUUCCAGGAAAAGCCUCUAAGCAUCAGGUAACAUCAAAUCGUACCCCAAACCGACACAGGUGGUCAGGUAGAGAAUACCAAGGCGCUUGAGAGAACUCGGGUGAAGGAACUAGGCAAAAUGGUGCCGUAACUUCGGGAGAAGGCACGCUGAUAUGUAGGUGAAGUCCCUUGCGGAUGGAGCUGAAAUCAGUCGAAGAUACCAGCUGGCUGCAACUGUUUAUUAAAAACACAGCACUGUGCAAACACGAAAGUGGACGUAUACGGUGUGACGCCUGCCCGGUGCCGGAAGGUUAAUUGAUGGGGUCAGCGCAAGCGAAGCUCUUGAUCGAAGCCCCGGUAAACGGCGGCCGUAACUAUAACGGUCCUAAGGUAGCGAAAUUCCUUGUCGGGUAAGUUCCGACCUGCACGAAUGGCGUAAUGAUGGCCAGGCUGUCUCCACCCGAGACUCAGUGAAAUUGAACUCGCUGUGAAGAUGCAGUGUACCCGCGGCAAGACGGAAAGACCCCGUGAACCUUUACUAUAGCUUGACACUGAACAUUGAGCCUUGAUGUGUAGGAUAGGUGGGAGGCUUUGAAGUGUGGACGCCAGUCUGCAUGGAGCCGACCUUGAAAUACCACCCUUUAAUGUUUGAUGUUCUAACGUUGACCCGUAAUCCGGGUUGCGGACAGUGUCUGGUGGGUAGUUUGACUGGGGCGGUCUCCUCCUAAAGAGUAACGGAGGAGCACGAAGGUUGGCUAAUCCUGGUCGGACAUCAGGAGGUUAGUGCAAUGGCAUAAGCCAGCUUGACUGCGAGCGUGACGGCGCGAGCAGGUGCGAAAGCAGGUCAUAGUGAUCCGGUGGUUCUGAAUGGAAGGGCCAUCGCUCAACGGAUAAAAGGUACUCCGGGGAUAACAGGCUGAUACCGCCCAAGAGUUCAUAUCGACGGCGGUGUUUGGCACCUCGAUGUCGGCUCAUCACAUCCUGGGGCUGAAGUAGGUCCCAAGGGUAUGGCUGUUCGCCAUUUAAAGUGGUACGCGAGCUGGGUUUAGAACGUCGUGAGACAGUUCGGUCCCUAUCUGCCGUGGGCGCUGGAGAACUGAGGGGGCUGCUCCUAGUACGAGAGGACCGGAGUGGACGCAUCACUGGUGUUCGGGUUGUCAUGCCAAUGGCACUGCCCGGUAGCUAAAUGCGGAAGAGAUAAGUGCUGAAAGCAUCUAAGCACGAAACUUGCCCCGAGAUGAGUUCUCCCUGACUCCUUGAGAGUCCUGAAGGAACGUUGAAGACGACGACGUUGAUAGGCCGGGUGUGUAAGCGCAGCGAUGCGUUGAGCUAACCGGUACUAAUGAACCGUGAGGCUUAACCUU
rnacentral:rRNA from 1 species